UGCUUGCAACAUCUGCGCUGGCAGAGAAUGGUUCAGUUGGCAACGGACAUCGAUUUCUGCAGUUUUGCACUGGCGUACUCGUCGAUGCUUCCACGUCGAGCCAGACAUUGUUCCCAUAAUUACUGUAACCAGCGCAGCCUCGCUGCAGACAUUUCAUAUGCAUUUGCAAGCUUUUUUGUAAGCGUAUCACUGCACUCAUGGACUGACUUAAAUUCAUACUUCUGAUGUCAUUGAAUGCCAAGCCCAAUAUGUGAGAUUCAGCACAUUUUACUAAGACACUGAACAAUCAUCAGCUAGCAAUUGUGAUGUCAAGGAAGAUAAGGUCUUCACCUCUAUCCAAAACUCAGUUCAGGUGAGUUCUCAACCAUGGUUUGAGGUAAACUUGUCCAACCAUGCCAGCAUGUCGUAAAGACCAGCGAAGGUUUGCACUUUUCCUGGCUGCAGUCAUAGCUAUAGAGGUUGUGGCAGUGGUGCUUUUUAUGCACAAUGAACACAGGCAGGUGUCACUGAUGGACCAUCCAAUACAAAAGUCCAAGACUCUUCCUAGAAAAAAUCUGACUGCACUGGAACAAGCUGUGCAUGAUGAGCACUUGCUGUUAAAUGCUUUGAUUAACAGGAAAAAAACACUGACUCAGGAGACUUAAGUGUCGUCUUCCUCAAAUAGGGUAGUUAUAUUUUGUUAUACAUGUUCUGACAUUAAAAAUGUGCAUAGUGCAAAACUUGGCAGACUAUAUAUUUAAACAUUUUACCAUCUGUCUUCAGUCAUGAAGAUUUAUUAUUUUGGACUGAAAAUUGGUGUAUUCAUUUCUUUCAACUAGUCAAUGGCUAAAUGCAUA